AGAAACGUAAAAAACUCAUCUAACAACCACCAAAAUUUGUACAUUAUAUAAACCACCUCUUUCCAUUUGUAUUGAUUACUUAUAAACUCAUGACCGAAUUUGAGAUGGGAAAAAGUUUGGUCAUCUUCAUUUUAAUGCUCAUUCUCUUUGUUUCAGAAGAGAGGAUUACAGGAGCGGAAACGUGCAAGCCAACGAUUACGCCUGGGUCCACUUGUAAGGGUGAAAAGGAUUGUAACACCACUUGUAAUAAGAGUGGUGACCCGUAUGGAAAAUGUGGGGGUCCUCCAAAACGUCUUUGUGAAUGCUACUCGUGUUAACCUUAAACUUAAAAUUUUGAUUUACUUUCGUUACGCGUACUUAAUGUAAUAAAUAAACCAUCUUAUUUACUCAUGCUAUAUUAUUUUUUGAA